CUGGUCGUAGCCAAGUGGUACUGCCGCAACAGAAUCCAAAUCUGUUUCUCUUGGACUGCGCAGGUUCGAAACCUGCCGACAAGU